GACGAACGCUGGCGGCGUGCUUAACACAUGCAAGUCGAACGGAAAGGCCCUGCUUGCGGGGUACUCGAGUGGCGAACGGGUGAGUAACACGUGGGUUAUCUGCCCUGCACUUCGGGAUAAGCUUGGGAAACUGGGUCUAAUACCGGAUAGGAGCCCUCUUUAGUGUGGUGGUUGGAAAGUUUUUUCGGUGUAGGGUGAGUUCGCGGCCUAUCUCCUUGUUGGUGGGGGAAUGGGGUACCAAGGCGGCUUCGGGUGGCCGGCCUGAGAGGGGGUGAGGCCACACAGGGGGAGAGAGAUAGGGCAGAGACCCAUGGGGGGGAGAAGAGGGGGAUAUUGUACAAUGGGGGCAAGACUGAGGCGGAGACGCCGCGUGGGGGGGGAAGGGGUUCGGGGUGUGAAAUCCGUUCGCGAGGGACGAAGAGUGUGAGUGACGGUAACGAGAAAAGAAGCACCGGCUAACUACGUG
rnacentral:rRNA from 1 species